CCUUUGUACACACCGCCCGUCGCUACUACCGAUUGAAUGGCUCGGUGAGGCCUUCGGACUGGCCCAGGGAGGUCGGCAACGACCACCCAGGGCCGGAAAGUUGGUCAAACCCGGUCAUUUAGAGGAAGUAAAAGUCGUAACAAGGUCUCCGUAGGUGAACCUGCGGAGGGAUCAUUA
rnacentral:rRNA from 2 species